rnacentral:piRNA from 1 species
UAUAUUGAGUACAAAGUUCAG